UACAGAGGGUGCAAGCGUUAAUCGGAAUUACUGGGCGUAAAGCGCGCGUAGGUGGUUUGUUAAGUUGGCUGUGAAAUCCCCGGGCUCAACCUGGGAACUGCAUCCAAAACUGGCAAGCUAGAGUAUGGUAGAGGGUGGUGGAAUUUCCUGUGUAGCGGUGAAAUGCGUAGAUAUAGGAAGGAACACCAGUGGCGAAGGCGACCACCUGGACUGAUACUGACACUGAGGUGCGAAAGCGUGGGGAGCAAACAGG
rnacentral:rRNA from 1 species